AGUCGAGCGGAGACAGUGAGUAGCUUGCUAUGAGCUGUUUUAGCGGCGGACGGGUGAGUAACGCGUGAGCAACCUUUCCCAGACAGGGGAAUAACACACCGAAAGGUGUACUAAUACCGCAUAAGACCACGGUUUCACAUGGAACUGAGGUAAAAGAUUUAUCGGUUUGGGGUGGGCUCGCGUCCGAUUAGGUAGUUGGUGAGGUAACGGCCCACCAAGCCGACGAUCGGUAGCCGACCUGAGAGGGUGAUCGGCCACAUUGGGACUGAGACACGGCCCAAACUCCUACGGGAGGCAGCAGUGGGGAAUAUUGGGCAAUGGGGGGAACCCUGACCCAGCAACGCCGCGUGGAGGAAGAAGGUUUUCGGAUCGUAAACUCCUGCCCUUGGAGACGAGUAGAAGACGGUAUCCAAGGAGGAAGCCCCGGCUAACUACGUGCCAGCAGCCGCGGUAAUACGUAGGGGGCAAGCGUUGUCCGGAAUAAUUGGGCGUAAAGGGCGCGUAGGCGGCUCGGUAAGUCUGGAGUGAAAGUCCUGCUUUUAAGGUGGGAAUUGCUUUGGAUACUGUCGGGCUUGAGUGCAGGAGAGGUUAGUGGAAUUCCCAGUGUAGCGGUGAAAUGCGUAGAGAUUGGGAGGAACACCAGUGGCGAAGGCGACUAACUGGACUGUAACUGACGCUGAGACGCGAAAGUGUGGGGAGCAAACAGGAUUAGAUACCCUGGUAGUCCACACUGUAAACGAUGAAUGCUAGGUGUAGGGGGUAUCGACCCCUUCUGUGCCGCAGUCAACACAAUAAGCAUUCCGCCUGGGG
rnacentral:rRNA from 1 species